rnacentral:rRNA from 1 species
AUAGCGUAUAUUAAAGUUGUUGCGGUUAAAAAGCUCGUAGUUGGAUCUCAGUCCAAGCUAAGGGGUCCACUUGUUAGUGGCUACUUCUUAGCUGGACAUUUUACCGAGCCGUCUUUUGAUGCUCUUCACCGAGUGUCAUGAGCGAUCGGUACGUUUACUUUGAAAAAAUUAGAGUGCUCAAAGCAGGCGUAACGCCCGAAUAAUCUUGCAUGGAAUAAUGGAAUAGGACCUCGGUUCUAUUUUGUUGGUCUUCGGGACCUGAGGUAAUGAUUAAGAGAGACAGACGGGGGCAUUCGUAUUGCGGCGCUAGAGGUGAAAUUCUUGGACCGUCGCAAGACGAACUACAG